UUUGGAUCUUUAUAUUACAGCGGCUAUUUUGAUGACCACGAUUGGUUGGAACGGUCUUACCAGGAGUUUAUAAGGGCCCACCUCCCCAUGACUAAAUUCAUGUUGACAGGGUCCAAUUGUGGCCAUUUGAGACGGCGGACCGCGAGGCACACACAGCCGACCCCUUCUCAGUGGGAAGUUGUUCUGUUCAUUGUCUGUUACUUGUCACCAAGGCUCUGGGAAAAUGGACAUUUUUGAACAUUGUGCACAGCCCCCGAUUGCCACUUUAUAACUUCGUGAGGCGAACUAAAAAAAAAAAAAAACGAAACAAUGAAGAAUUCAAGGCAAAGCCGAGUCUCCAGAAAAAAACCCAACCUGCUCUGUAAACUCUAGUUCUUUACUCAGCACUCUAGAAUAGUCUGGUGCUGUGACACAUGGCACUGAACACAGUCACUGAGCACUUUCAGCUCAAGGCCUUCUUCUUUAGAGAAUAUUUAGAUGAACUUGUGACCUUCUUAUUGUCUGAUUUAGAAUAGAAUAGUAUAGAAUCUACAACAACAGUGAAUAAAAAGGUUGUAUUCAUAGUUGGGGGUCCUAAAGAACCAGAACUGAUCACUUCAUCAUUGGUAACAUGGAAGCACGUUGUAAGUCGCUCUGGAUAAGGACGUCUGCCAAAUGCCUUAAAUAUAAAUGUAAAUGUAAAGUUAAAUAUAAAUGUAAAGGUAAAUAUAAAUGUAAAUGUAAAUGGAACACGGCACCGUUCCUCCACGACGGUCCUGUCCGGACGGGAAGGGGUUAAGCCGUAGUAACGUAGUAAAGGAAACGUAGUAAAGCCGGAGUAAAGCCAGGCGGCCGCCGCCGCUUUGUUUAUCUUGUAUAACCGAGCACGUGGUGCAGGCGCGAGCCCGUGGGGACGCGCCUCGAACCCUCCGCCGCGCGCGCGGACGCGACCAUGUAGCGGGGAGGGGCGUGGCGUGGCGUGGCGUGGCGUGGCGACUGCGGGUUAUUAUUGUUGUUGCUGUUUUUUGGUUAGCUUCCACGCUAACUCGGAUUAUCGGGAAUAUCGGAUGGCGAGCGGGGAAGCGAAGAAUCGUUCCUCGUCGAAACCCGCACAGUCGCGGCCGUCAACAGACGCCACGUUCACCGACGCGUGUGCAAAUCAUCGGACACGAGGGAACGGCGACACUUACCGAUCUGUCCCGUUAUCCCCCGCGCAGAUCCCGCGAGCUCUUCCCGUUCCAGCAGGUCAGGGGACCGAGCCGCCGAUCACGGUCGGACUUUCAUUCACGGGCGGGACGUGGGCGACGCGCUGAAGCCUUCCCUCCCGCCACGGACGAUGCGAACGACUGUGCACGUAACGCACGAGCAGGACCCUCCUCCUCCUCCUCCUCCUCCUCUCCGGACGGUUCCACGCACACAGAGGCGCGACUGAUGCCGGGGGGCGUCUUUAUUUCCCACGACGAUUCACGUACUGGCCGAAAUAUUCAAACAUUAAUAUUAAUAUCAAAUAUUAAUCUGCAGGAACGGUGCAGAGGAACUGUGGCAGUUCAGGACUCAAAACGGCAAACUUCUGAUUACGGAUCUGCUUACCCGCUUUACCCGCCAGGCCCUAAGGAACAGGACUAUGCAGCUCAGCAGCGAUGAUCCAGUCCUCACUGCAGGCGCCGGAGGGCCUUGUGUUGAGAACAAUGGCCACUUCACGACAUCUUUGCACCUGCACCACUGCUGCAUCUGUUCUGCCACAGUUCCAUGCGAGGAGUGCUGUGUAGCCCCAUGCAGCUUGUACUUGCCAGUGAGUAAAACAGAAACAAAGACUCCAAACCAGGGCAUACACAGUUCAAAAAUAUAUAGACACAUUUACCUGUUCGUGAAAUCCGAACACAGACAAAUAAAGGAAAAUAGAGCACACA
ensembl:lncRNA